UCCUACGGGAGGCAGCAGUGGGGAAUCUUGCGCAAUGGGCGAAAGCCUGACGCAGCAACGCCGCGUGGGGGAUGAAGGCCCUCGGGUUGUAAACCCCUUUCAGCAGGGACGAAUCUGACGGUACCUGCAGAAGAAGCCCCGGCCAACUACGUGCCAGCAGCCGCGGUAAUACGUAGGGGGCUAGCGUUGUCCGGAUUUAUUGGGCGUAAAGAGCUCGUAGGCGGCUUGGCAAGUCGGGUGUGAAACCUCCAGGCUCAACCUGGAGACGCCACUCGAUACUGCCAUGGCUAGAGUCCGGUAGGGGACCACGGAAUUCCUGGUGUAGCGGUGAAAUGCGCAGAUAUCAGGAGGAACACCGGUGGCGAAGGCGGUGGUCUGGGCCGGCACUGACGCUGAGGAGCGAAAGCGUGGGUAGCAAACAGGAUUAGAUACCCUGGUAGUCCACGCCGUAAACGUUGGGCACUAGGUGUGGGGCCUUAUCAACGGGUUCCGUGCCGUAGCUAACGCAUUAAGUGCCCCGCCUGGGGAGUACGGCCGCAAGGCUAAAACUCAAAUGAAUUGACGGAAUCGAAUUCCCG
rnacentral:rRNA from 1 species